rnacentral:piRNA from 1 species
GUAAGAAGGGGUCCUGAUAGAAC